ACGAACGCUGGCGGCGUGCUUAACACAUGCAAGUCGAACGGAAAGGCCCUGCUUUUGUGGGGUGCUCGAGUGGCGAACGGGUGAGUAGCACGUGAGUAACCUGCCCUUGACUUUGGGAUAACUUCAGGAAACUGGGGCUAAUACCGGAUAGGAGCUCCUGCUGCAUGGUGGGGGUUGGAAAGUUUCGGCGGUUGGGGAUGGACUCGCGGCUUAUCAGCUUGUUGGUGGGGUAGUGGCUUACCAAGGCUUUGACGGGUAGCCGGCCUGAGAGGGUGACCGGCCACAUUGGGACUGAGAUACGGCCCAGACUCCUACGGGCGGCAGCAGUGGGGAAUAUUGCACAAUGGGCGGAAGCCUGAUGCAGCAACGCCGCGUGCGGGAUGACGGCCUUCGGGUUGUAAACCGCUUUCGCCUGUGACGAAGCGUGAGUGACGGUAAUGGGUAAAGAAGCACCGGCUAACUACGUG
rnacentral:rRNA from 1 species